rnacentral:rRNA from 1 species
CAACCUGCCGAUGACUCGGGGAUAGCCUUUCGAAAGAAAGAUUAAUACCCGAUGGCAUAGUUCUUCCGCAUGGUAGAACUAUUAAAGAAUUUCGGUCAUCGAUGGGGAUGCGUUCCAUUAGGUUGUUGGCGGGGUAACGGCCCACCAAGCCUUCGAUGGAUAGGGGUUCUGAGAGGAAGGUCCCCCACAUUGGAACUGAGACACGGUCCAAACUCCUGCGGGAGGCAGCAGUGAGGAAUAUUGGUCAAUGGGCGCGAGCCUGAACCAGCCAAGUAGCGUGAAGGAUGACUGCCCUAUGGGUUGUAAACUUCUUUUAUAAAGGAAUAAAGUGGUCCACGUGUGGAUUUUUGUAUGUACUUUAUGAAUAAGGAUCGGCUAACUCCGUGCCAGCAGCCGCGGUAAUACGGAGGAUCCAAGCGUUAUCCGGAUUUAUUGGGUUUAAAGGGAGCGUAGAUGGAUGUUUAAGUCAGUUGUGAAAGUUCGGGGCUCAACCCCGGAAUUGCAGUUGAUACUGGAUAUCUUGAGUACAGUUGAGGUAGGCGGAAUUCGUGGUGUAGCGGUGAAAUGCUUAGAUAUCACGAAGAACUCCGAUUG